UACGUAGGGUGCGAGCGUUAAUCGGAAUUACUGGGCGUAAAGCGUGCGCAGGCGGUUUUGUAAGGCAGAUGUGAAAUCCCCGGGCUCAACCUGGGAAUGGCAUUUGGGACUGCAAGGCUGGAGUGUGGCAGAGGAGACUGGAAUUCCUGGUGUAGCAGUGAAAUGCGUAGAUAUCAGGAGGAAUACCGAUGGCGAAGGCAGGUCUCUGGGCUGACACUGACGCUCAUGCACGAAAGCGUGGGGAGCAAACAGG
rnacentral:rRNA from 1 species